rnacentral:rRNA from 1 species
AUUGAACGCUGGCGGCAGGCCUAACACAUGCAAGUCGAGCGAGCGGCGGACGGGUGAGUAAUGUAUGGGGACUGCCCGAUAGAGGGGGAUAACUACUGGAAACGGUGGCUAAUACCGCAUACUAUCGGAUAACCCAUAUGGGAUUAACUAGUAGGUAAGGUAAUGGCUUACCUAGGCGACGAUCCCUAGCUGGUCUGAGAGGAUGAUCAGACACACAGGGACUGCGACACGGUCCAGAAUCCUACGGAGGCAGCAGUGGGGAAUAUUGAACAAUGGGCGCAAGCCUGAUGCAGCCAUGCCGCGUGUAUGAAGAAGGCCCUAGGGUUGUAAAGUACUUUCAGUAGGGAGGCGUUACCGACAGAAGAAGCACCGGCUAACUCCGUGCCAGCAGCCGCGGUAAUAC